rnacentral:rRNA from 2 species
GACGAACCGAGCGAACGUUGUUCGGAAUCACUGGGCUUAAAGGGCGCGUAGGCGGCUUGCCAAGUCAGGGGUGAAAUUUUGCGGCUUAACCGUAACAGUGCCUUUGAUACUGGCAGGCUAGAGGGAAAUAGGGGUUCGCGGAACUUCUGGUGGAGCGGUGAAAUGCGUUGAUAUCAGAAGGAACGCCGGUGGCGAAAGCGGCGAACUGGAUUUUUUCUGACGCUGAGGCGCGAAAGCUAGGGGAGCAAACGGG